UGUCCAGUAGCACCUUAGAGACCAACUAACUUUGUUCUUGGUAUAAGCUUUUGUGCGCAUGCCAAGAACAAACUUAGUUGGUCUCUAAGGUGCUACUGGACA